CGUACACUCCUGCGGGAGGCAGCAGUGGGGAAUAUUGCACAAUGGGCGCAAGCCUGAUGCAGCCAUGCCGCGUGUGUGAAGAAGGCCUUCGGGUUGUAAAGCACUUUCAGCGGGGAGGAAGGCGAUACGGUUAAUAACCGUGUUGAUUGACGUUACCCGCAGAAGAAGCACCGGCUAACUCCGUGCCAGCAGCCGCGGUAAUACGGAGGGUGCAAGCGUUAAUCGGAAUUACUGGGCGUAAAGCGCACGCAGGCGGUCUGUCAAGUCGGAUGUGAAAUCCCCGGGCUCAACCUGGGAACUGCAUUCGAAACUGGCAGGCUUGAGUCUUGUAGAGGGGGGUAGAAUUCCAGGUGUAGCGGUGAAAUGCGUAGAGAUCUGGAGGAAUACCGGUGGCGAAGGCGGCCCCCUGGACAAAGACUGACGCUCAGGUGCGAAAGCGUGGGGAGCAAACAGGAUUAGAUACCCGGGUAGUCCCAUG
rnacentral:rRNA from 1 species